rnacentral:rRNA from 1 species
AUUGAACGCUGGCGGCAGGCCUAACACAUGCCAGUCGAACGGUAACAGGAAACAGCUUGCUGUUUCGCUGACGAGUGGCGGACGGGUGAGUAAUGUCUGGGAAACUGCCUGAUGGAGGGGGAUAACUACUGGAAACGGUAGCUAAUACCGCAUAACGUCGCAAGACCAAAGAGGGGGACCUUCGGGCCUCUUGCCAUCGGAUGUGCCCAGAUGGGAUUAGCUAGUAGGUGGGGUAAAGGCUCACCUAGGCGACGAUCCCUAGCUGGUCUGAGAGGAUGACCAGCCACACUGGAACUGAGACACGGUCCAGACUCCUACGGGAGGCAGCAGUGGGGAAUAUUGCACAAUGGGCGCAAGCCUGAUGCAGCCAUGCCGCGUGUAUGAAGAAGGCCUUCGGGUUGUAAAGUACUUUCAGCGGGGAGGAAGGGAGUAAAGUUAAUACCUUUGCUCAUUGACGUUACCCGCAGAAGAAGCACCGGCUAACUCCGUG